GCGGCCGCGGUCACGCGGAAGAAGCGCGCGCGCCAUUUUGUGGUGCCACGUUGCCGCUUCUCGAUCGAAAACUCCGAUUGUUUAUAUUAUAGAUUAGCGCGUGUCCGUCUGACGAACCAAAACAAACGGAGACUAUACUUAACAACACCGCAAUAUUGUUAAACAUCAAACUGGCUCUGUUAGACCAGCCUGAAUCUGUUCUGCCACCUCACGGAUCUGCUGGGCAAAUCUGGUCUUUGACCCUUUCUUGAGUUUUUGGGAAUCUUUUUCAUUGAAGAAAAGAUCCAUGCCAAGGGCAAAGCCCUGAAUCACACCUGAGGAUCUGUUCAUCACGCUGAGGGCACCUGAUGUCCCACUUGCUAUCUCGACUAGCUUCACGAUCUUUGCAGCCGAGGCCCCUGUGACCCCGCCAGCGGCUGCGACCCCGACUCCCACCGCAGCGACCGCUAGAGACAAGCCCAUAGUCGCGGGGGCCAGGAGGAUGCCGCCCACGGCUGCCGCUGCGCCCACGGCUCCGGUGGUGCCGC